rnacentral:lncRNA from 1 species
GGAUCCCAGCCUGGAACUCCUGUUAUUGACAGCCAUCCCAAAAUCCCAGCCUGGAACUCCUGUUAUUCACAGCCAUCCCAAAAUCCCAGCCUGGAACUCCUGUUAUUCUGAUCCCAGAAAUCCCAGCCUGGAACUCCUGUUAUUCACAUCCAUCCCAAAAUCCCAGCCUGGAAUUCUUGUUAUUCUAUCCUAUCAAUCCCAUUAUUCCUAUUAUUCACAUCCCAGAAAUCCCAGCCUGGAAUUCCUGUUAUUCCAUCCUAUCAAUCCCAUUACCUUCAUCCUAUUAAUCCCACUAUCCCAUCCUACCAAUCCCAUUAUUCCUGUUAUUCCUAUCCAUGCCAUUCUAUUUUCCCAUCCUAUCAAUCCCAUUAUUCCCAUUUUUCCCACUCCAGAAUUCCCAUCCAUGCCCCUCCAUUAUCCUGUUACUGCAUCCUAUCAAUUUCACUAUUUCCAUCCCAUUAUCCCAUCCUAUUAAUCCCAUUAUUCUCAUCUCAGAAUUUCCAUCCCAUUACCUCAUUAUUACACCUUUUCAAUCCCAUUAUUUUUAUCCCAUUAUCCCAUUUACUCCAUCCUAUCAAUCCCAUUAUUCCUGUCUCAUUAUCCCAUCCUAUCAAUUCCAUUAUCCCAUCCUAUCAAUUCCAUUAUGCCAUUCUAUUAAUCCUGUUAUUCCUGUUUUUCCUAUCCUAGUAUUCCUAUCUGUGCCAUCCCAUUAUCCCAUCUAUCAAUCCCAUUAUUCCUGUUAUUUCUAUCCCAGAAUUCCCAUCCCAUUACCUCAUUAUCCUUUUCUACUAAUCCUACUAUUCCCACUCCCAUUAUCCCAUCCUAUUAACCCCAUUAUCCCCAUUGUAGAAUUCCCAUCCGUGCCAUCCCAUUAUCCCAUCCCAUUAUUUCCAUUAUCCCAUCCUAUCAAUCCCAUUAUUCCCGGUCCAUCCCAUUCCAGAAUUGUCAUCCAUGUCCUUCCGUUAUCCCAUCCCAUCAUUCCCAGUCCAUCCCACCAUUCCCAUUCCCACUGUGCCAUCCUAUCAAUCCCAUUAUUCCCAUUAUUCCCAUUAUUCUCAUCCCAGAAUUCCCGUCUGCGCCAUCCCAUUAUUCCAUCCUAUCAACCCCAUUAUUCCUGUUACUCCUAUCCCAAAAUUCCUCAUCCGUGCUAUCCCAUUAUCCCAUCCUAUAAAUCCCGUCAUUAUUCCCAUCUGCUAUCCCAUUAUCCCAUCAAUCCCAUUAUUCCAAUCCCAGAAUUCCCAUCCAUUAUCCCAUUAUUCCAUCCUAUUAAUCCCAUUAUUCCCGUCUCAUUAUCCCAUUAUUUCUGCUAUUCCCACUCCAGAAUUCCCAUCUGUACCAUUCCAUUAUUCCAUCCUAUCAAUCCCAUAAUUCCAUCCUAUCAACCCCAUUCGUUUCAUCCUAUUAAUCCCAUUAUUCCCAUCCUAUUAAUCCCAUUAUUCCCAUCCCAUUAAUCCCAUUAUUCCCAUUUUAUUAAUCCCAUUAUUCCCAUCCUAUUAAUCCCAUUAUUCCCAUCCCAUUAUCCCCAUCCUAUCAAUCCCAUUACUGCCAUUCCAUUACACCAUUAUCCCCAGUCUAUCCCACCAUUCCCAUUAU